rnacentral:rRNA from 1 species
AGUGAACGCUGGCGGUAGGCCUAACACAUGCCAGUCGAACGGCAGCACAGUAAGAGCUUGCUCUUACGGGUGGCGAGUGGCGGACGGGUGAGGAAUACAUCGGAAUCUACUUUUUCGUGGGGGAUAACGUAGGGAAACUUACGCUAAUACCGCAUACGACCUACGGGUGAAAGCAGGGGAUCUUCGGACCUUGCGCGAUUGAAUGAGCCGAUGUCGGAUUAGCUAGUUGGCGGGGUAAAGGCCCACCAAGGCGACGAUCCGUAGCUGGUCUGAGAGGAUGAUCAGCCACACUGGAACUGAGACACGGUCCAGACUCCUACGGGAGGCAGCAGUGGGGAAUAUUAGACAAUGGGCGCAAGCCUGAUCCAGCCAUACCGCGUGGGUGAAGAAGGCCUUCGGGUUGUAAAGCCCUUUUGUUGGGAAAGAAAAGCAGCAGGUUAAUACCCCGCUGUUCGGACGGUACCCAAAGAAUAAGCACCGGCUAACUUAGU